rnacentral:rRNA from 1 species
CAGGGAUUGCCCUAGUAACGGCGAGUGAAGCGGCAACAGCUCAAAUUUGAAAUCUGGCUCUUUUAGGGUCCGAGUUGUAAUUUGCAGAGGGCGCUUUGGCUUUGGCAGCGGUCCAAGUUCCUUGGAACAGGACGUCACAGAGGGUGAGAAUCCCGUACGUGGUCGCUAGCUAUUGCCGUGUAAAGCCCCUUCGACGAGUCGAGUUGUUUGGGAAUGCAGCUCUAAAUGGGAGGUAAAUUUCUUCUAAAGCUAAAUAUUGGCCAGAGACCGAUAGCGCACAAGUAGAGUGAUCGAAAGAUGAAAAGCACUUUGGAAAGAGAGUCAAACAGCACGUGAAAUUGUUGAAAGGGAAGCGCUUGCAGCCAGACUUGCUUGCAGUUGCUCAUCCGGGCUUUUGCCCGGUGCACUCUUCUGCAGGCAGGCCAGCAUCAGUUUGGGCGGUGGGAUAAAGGUCUCUGACACGUUCCUUCCUUCGGGUUGGCCAUAUAGGGGAGACGUCAUACCACCAGCCUGGACUGAGGUCCGCGCAUCUGCUAGGAUGCUGGCGUAAUGGCUGUAAGCGGCCCGUCUUGAAACACGGACCAAGGAGUCUAACAUCUAUGCGAGUGUUUGGGUGUCAAGCCCGAGCGCGUAAUGAAAGUGAACGGAGGUGGGAACCCGCAAGGGCGCACCAUCGACCGAUCCUGAAGUUUACGGAAGGAUUUGAGUAAGAGCAUGGCUGUUGGGACCCGAAAGAUGGUGAACUAUGCUUGAAUAGGGUGAAGCCAGAGGAAACUCUGGUGGAGGCUCGCAGCGGUUCUGACGUGCAAAUCGAUCGUCAAAUUUGGGCAUAGGGGCGAAAGACU